CCUCUCUCAGGGUCACACCUGGGGAGUUUCCAGUACUCUACCAGUCUCAAAUGUGGGAGGGAGAGUCAAGCAGAGGCCUACCCAUUCCAUUCCUAGCUUAGCCAGUGGUUAGAGAGUGGAAGGCAAACUGCUACAAGU